rnacentral:tRNA from 4 species
GCGCCUGUAGCUCAACUGGAUAGAGCGUCGGACUUCGGAUCCGAUGGUUGCGGGUUCAAAUCCUGCCAGGCGCGCCA